rnacentral:rRNA from 1 species
CCAAACGACUCUCGGCAACAGAUAUCUCAUCUCUCGCAUCGAUGAAGAACGUAGCGAGAUGCGAUACUUGGUGUGAAUUGUAGAAUCUCGUGAACCAUCGAGUUUUUAAACGCAAGUUGCGCCUAAAGCCAUCAGGCCAAGGGCACGUUUGCCUGGGCGUCACGC